CCCCACUAGUCUGGGAUACCACUUGGAAACAAGGUGCUAAUACCGGAUAAGAAAGACGGAUCGCAUGAUCAGCUUUUAAAAGGACGGCGUAAGCUGUCGCUAUGGGAUGGCCCCGCGGUGCAUUAGCUAGUUGGUAAGGUAAAGGCUUACCAAGGCGAUGAUGCAUAGCCGAGUUGAGAGACUGAUCGGCCACAUUGGGACUGAGACACGGCCCAAACUCCUACGGGAGGCAGCAGCA
rnacentral:rRNA from 1 species